rnacentral:rRNA from 1 species
CGCGCAGGCGGUGAUUUAAGCAGGAUGUGAAAGGCUACGGCUCAACCGUAGACAUGCACCCUGAACUGGGUCGCUUGAGUAUUGGAGAGGCAGGCAGAAUUCCUGGUGUAGCGGUGAAAUGCGUAGAUAUCAGGAGGAAUACCGGAGGCGAAGGCGGCCUGCUGGACAAAUACUGACGCUGAGGCGCGAAAGCGUGGGAGCAAACA